rnacentral:tRNA from 1 species
GUUGUAGUUCAGUGGUAGAGCACUUGCCUAGCACAUGCGAGGCACUGGGUUCAAUCCUCAGCACCACA